rnacentral:ncRNA from 1 species
UUAAAUACUUCGAUGGAGAGAAAGAUACUGGAUGUUCUUUACAGAGACCUGGAGGCGGUGAAAGCCAGGAAGAAAUAAGGUAUGUAAUAUUCACUCUGGAGUAGGGUUGUUGAAAAUGUAGACAAUUUCGGAAGCCACCGUUAUCUUAGGCUAUGGAUUAAUUUGAUCCUGAUAAGAGAUAGUAAUUAUACUAUAAUUUAGGUGGUACCGCGAAUCUUUCGUCCUAUUG